UACGGAGGGUGCAAGCAUUAAUCGGAAUUAUUGGGCGUAAAGGGCGCGUAGGCGGAUGGAAAAGUCUGAUGUGAAAUACCGGGGCUCAACCUCGGUGCUGCAUUAGAAACUCUUCAUCUUGAGGGUUGACGGAGAAAACGGAAUUCCAAGUGUAGCGGUGAAAUGCGUAGAUAUUUGGAGGAACACCGGUGGCGAAGGCGGCAUCCUGGACCGACACUGACACUGAGGAGCGAAAGCCAGGGGAGCAAACGGG
rnacentral:rRNA from 1 species